UACGGAGGGAGCUAGCGUUGUUCGGAAUUACUGGGCGUAAAGCGCGCGUAGGCGGUUUUUUAAGUCAGAGGUGAAAGCCCAGUGCUCAACACUGGAACUGCCUUUGAAACUGGAAAACUUGAAUCUUGGAGAGGUCAGUGGAAUUCCGAGUGUAGAGGUGAAAUUCGUAGAUAUUCGGAAGAACACCAGUGGCGAAGGCGACUGACUGGACAAGCAUUGACGCUGAGGUGCGAAAGCGUGGGGAGCAAACAGGG
rnacentral:rRNA from 1 species